rnacentral:rRNA from 1 species
AGAUGCGAUCAUACCAGCACUAAAGCACCGAAUCCCAUCAGAACUCCGAAGUUAAGCUUGCUUGGGCGAGAGUAGUACUAGGAUGGGUGACCUCUUGGGAAGUCCUCGUGUUGCAUUCC